ensembl:lncRNA
AAAAGCUCUCAGAACCUCCUCAGGAACUAUGUGUUUCCCAAGGAUUACCUGCACUUGCUUACACACCCCUAUCCUGUGUUCUGAAAACUUUUCAAAGCCCAUUCAUCUGUGACUGCUGCUGUCUGAAGUAGAGAACACUGUCAACUGCCCCAGAGGGGAUUUUGGGAGCUCCUUCCAAGAAUGCCUCAGCUCCUUACUGAGAAGAUAUACAUUCCACAGAUGGGGCUUUAUUGAGAUGAGCAGAUUCUAAGGGGGCUGCCUUGAAUGAACAGCCAAAGAAAGCAGAAAUGAAGAACAAGCAAUUGCACCAGCCAUGUCGAAGGUUCAUCCACAGAGCAUGUAAUUCUGAUUGGUGCAACAGUCUGGAAGAGUGAAAGACGUCAUCUCCCAAGGGCAAGUGCUGUGCUAGUGGACACUGAGGAGCUGCACGGAUCAGACCCUUCCCCAUCCUUCUCCAGCCUCUCUUGUUCUUCCUUGAGAUGUUUCCUACAGAUCUGAAAGAUCCAGGCAGUCCAUGACAUGCAUUUGAAUUUAAUCUCAGGACAUUUUACUCCUUGCUCUAAAAUUAAG